AUCACCGGCCGGUAGCUGGGUGCUAGUGGGCGGGGCUUAUCAAUGAACCGCAGGUGCUCAGAGUUGAUGAGAAGAUGGAGUCUCGGCGAGCUGGAGGACAGACUCGGUCCUGUCGCGUUUUCGUCACCUUUGCGUGUGGCCUGGAAACCCGAACGCCUUGUAUUGCCAGCUUUGUUUGCUUUUCGACCAACCACUUAUAAUAUAACCUUGAACUAGACACCAUAAACCGCAGAAGACGGGGCUGGUUGCUUAAUUGCGUGGAGCUGCUGAUGGAGUUGGCGGAGGUCGCUGUUCCAGGCGUCAAGGAUCCUCUGUACCAGUUGACACUUCUGGAAAAGCUGAGGGAUCGACAGAAACACAGAAUGAAGGUCGGCGGGCGGCUCCGUGGUGAUGAGGCGGACCAGCUCCUGCAUGCAGUGGUCCUGGGAGAGGAAGAGGAGGAGCCUGCGGUUUUGGGCCUUGCACUCCUGCAGGACGUCA